UGCUAUGUACGUUAUCAACAUAAAUAUGUAAUUCUUCUAUACAAAUGAUCUAUUAUAAAUAAAACUUUUAUUACAUCUUAUAGAACCACAUGUACUGAUUCUGAGCAACGUCGUAUCGAAUUGGAAAACCGCUAUAAAACAUUUCAUCUUCCUUAUGUUACACGUUUUUCUUUUUAAAAGGUACUUACAAUGUAGCUUUAUAGAAAAAUAAUAAUAUUGUAUCAAAUACUAUGGAUAGUUGAUAUAGAUGUCGGGAUUUCACAUGCAUACAAUAAAAUUAUCGGCUAGUUAAAAUGUAAGUUAUUAUUACAAUUAUUUGUGCAUUGAUUUUUUUUUUAUUCUCACAGACAAAUGCAUUGCAUGCAAUAAGAGUGUUCGCCCCAGACAAGAGGCCAUCCAGUGUGAAGGAUGUGAACUAUGGCAACACAGAGCAUGUAAUACUGGAAUCACCCGUGACCAGUAUAGACGAAUAGGGAAACUGCAAGAAGACAUCCAGUGGGUUUGCGCCCGGUGCUUGGAAAAUCCUACUGAUACAGAAGAGUUUGUAGCUGCAGCUGAUGCCACAUUUCACGUGUCAAUAGCCUCCCUUGGUUCAUCAGUUGCUGAACCCGAUGAUGAAGAUGAACAGGAGGAUGAAUCUA